AUGCAGUGCGGCAUGGGCUUGGGCGUCGACGAGGAGACGAUGGAGAAGCUGGCCUCUUCGGGCCUGCCGUGCUCCCGGGUCUCCGUGACGAGCAGGGCCUCUGUCGCGGCGGAGACGUGGUUGCCAUUUGUCUCGGCCUCGGCGUGGAGGCUGCUGAAAGUGGGCUCGGCGACGACGCCGCGCCAUAGCCUGCAGACGCAGCGGCACCGGGCCACGUCCGUGGUCGGCAGCUUGAGCAGGAUCUCCCGGACCAUCUCUGCUGAUUCCGGCGGCGGAGCAGGUCCCCUCAUCGUCGCAAGAUCGAAACCCAGAUCGACCGGCUGCUACCUGCUAAUGGUUUACGUAACCAAGAUCGAUCGAAACCAAGAUUUCCUCACGGUGUGA
rnacentral:rRNA from 1 species